GGUGAGUAACACGUGAGUAACCUGCCCUUAACUCUGGGAUAAGCCUGGGAAACUGGGUCUAAUACCGGAUAUGACUCCUCAUCGCAUGGUGGGGGGUGGAAAGCUUUUUGUGGUUUUGGAUGGACUCGCGGCCUAUCAGCUUGUUGGUGAGGUAAUGGCUCACCAAGGCGACGACGGGUAGCCGGCCUGAGAGGGUGACCGGCCACACUGGGACUGAGACACGGCCCAGACUCCUACGGGAGGCAGCAGUGGGGAAUAUUGCACAAUGGGCGAAAGCCUGAUGCAGCGACGCCGCGUGAGGGAUGACGGCCUUCGGGUUGUAAACCUCUUUCAGUAGGGAAGAAGCGAAAGUGACGGUACCUGCAGAAGAAGCGCCGGCUAACUACGUGC
rnacentral:rRNA from 1 species